rnacentral:misc_RNA from 1 species
CUCUUCCUGGAUACAAAUGACGAGGAGGACGCUUCGGGAUACAAAGCUUGAUGACUAUGGACAUCAACACCUGCAUAUACAACGAAGAUGAGGAGUUAUCACUUCCAGAGUUUCACAAGAAGUAUCGAGACCAGUUUCCAAUAACAGCCAUUGUUGUUGGAGGGCAUUAUGGACAAACCAAGUGGGACGACCUCCCCAGUGACCUUGUAAUGAGAGUUGACAGGGAAUUUGCACAACCAAGGGUCCUUGCCAGAGACCCCGUGUAUUACAGGGAGCGCUACAUCAGCAUUCCUGUUAAUGGAAAGUUCCUAUUCAACAUUGUCAAGUCCAUCAAAGAGAGUAAGAUUAACAGAACCAAAUAAACUUUAGAACAAUACAUUUACAAAGCAAAGCACAAGACAUUUAAAAAAUAUGAAUGACGUAUAUCUCACAAGAUAUAAGAUAUAGGUUACACAUGUACGGCGUAUUUCAGAGAGCAGGGAUUAUACUAUGGCGGAGAUAUUAAAGGAGCACCCUUUACCAAUACUUGUCCAGUUUUCUGCCAGAGGAGAGCUCCCAAGAGAAGCGAAAAGUGCGGACGGUUUAACAAGUUUUCUGAUAGAGUACCACCACGAGGAAAUUUAUCUCCAGGGAAACUUUUACCUCCACGGACUUAUAGCCAAGGACAGCGCCUCUGUGACCCUGUGUCCCCACAUCUCCAUGGCACCUGUACAUGGAAUUAAGGGCAAGACGGAGGAGGAAUAUCAACAGUACCUGGCGCGCAUGACCACAUUUGUCAAGAAUAAGACAACUUUCUCUGAGGAUUCGUGUAAUCCAGGUUAAACCUUGUUUGAAGAUAUAUUGUGAAAAUAUUACAAAGUCCCACCAAAAACCUUUAAAUCAAUGCUAUUUUAAAUAACACUUUUGAUUUGGAAAAGGACAUAUUUGUAAUUUAUUUUUAACGUAAACAAAAAUUGAUAUUUCACAGGUGUAAAAGUACUAGAAGCAACCGAUCCACUGAUAACCCAUAUUUUCCACAAAGAAGAUGUCGACAGAGGUCCCGCGCCAAUAAUUCCGCAAAGGAGUAAACCAAGCCCUGCUGUUACAAAACCAGAAAGUGGUAAACCACGUGGUGCCAGCAAAGGACUAAUUCCCCGUCUCCUAGAUCGGAAAAGUCCGCCUAAACAACCAAACAAUGUCAAAGGGGCUGGAAAAGUCGACAAAUUACCUCCAGUACCAAAACCUUCUCCAACACAAGAAAAACCAACGGAAGAGGAUGACGAUGGUGAAAUUUAUUAUGGCGGUGAUUAUGAAGAAAUUGUUGAGGAAAAGAAAUCGAAACCAGUCUUAGAUCAAAAGCCUGUUGGUUACGUAAACGACAUUUUGUGUCAGGUUAAGCCGUUCUCUGAAGCAAAACCUGGUAACGAAUCGGACGAAAGUGAUGAGUACGAAGCGAUCGAAGAAAAACCAAUUCCAAGUUUCACUGAACAGAACAAGACAGGAACAAACGGAAAUGUGGAGUCCGAAAAGAACAGUUCACCAACACCUGAAGAUGUAUACUCAGUACCAAUAGAACCUAGUAAAAUACGAAAUUUUGAAAACUUUGAAAAUCACAAAAAGGAUACUAGUGUUGAUUUUGAUGAUGAAUAUUCAAUACUUGACGAAAAUGUUACACAGAAAACUGAUAUCAAAGGUGACGUUGCUGCUAUCUCGGAAACGGUCUCCAAACAAAAUUUUGUGGCUGGAAAGAAUAUCCAAGAGCUUGGAGAGAUCCUAGUGAAACUGAGGUUAGAAAAACACGUCCAGCGGUUUGCCGAGGACCUUAUUGACGGCGAAAUUAUUACUGAUCUGACUGUUGUUGAUUUAAAAGAAGAUUAUAAGUUCACGAAAACGGAGGCCAUUCGGCUGAGGAAAUACAUCGAACAGGGACAUAUACCUUCUUAGACUGUGAGCUGAUGGCGAUUUUUCAGUUCAGUCUUGAUCCAUCUUUAUUUUAACAUUAGACAUUUGAGUCCAUAAAAGCGAAGUCUUUUUUCGCAAAAACAUCCAAAUGAUCUAUUGAUGCAAUGAAUAAUCUUGGCGCUUCCUGAACGGAAAAUAAAUUGCUAAUUAAAUAUAUAUUAUUA